AGUGAACGCUGGCGGUAGGCCUAACACAUGCAAGUCGAACGGCAGCACAGUAAGAUCUUUCUCUUACGGUUGGCGAGUGGCGGACGGGUGAGGAAUACAUCGGAAUCUACUUUUUCUGGGGUGAUAACGUAGGGAAACUUACGCUAAUACCUCAUACGACCUACGGCUGAAAGCAGGGGAUCUUCGGACCUUGCGCGAUUGAAUGAGCCGAUGUCGGAUUAGCUAGUUGGCUGGGUAAAGGCCCACCAAGGCAACGAUCCGUAGCUGGUCUGAGAGGAUGAUCAGCCACACUGGAACUGAGACACGGUCCAGACUCCUACGGGAGGCAGCAGUGGGGAAUAUUGGACAAUGGGCGCAAGCCUGAUCCAGCCAUACCGCGUGGGUGAAGAAGGCCUUCGGGUUGUAAAGCCCUUUUGUUGGGAAAGAAAAGCAGCAGGUUAAUACACCGAUGUUCUGACGGUACCCAAAGAAUAAGCACCGGCUAACUUCGUG
rnacentral:rRNA from 1 species